AGAUUUUAAUGAUGAUGAUAUUUCUUACCUACAUUGUCUGAGAAAUAUGAUUAGGAUUAUUGUCUGAGAAACCU